rnacentral:rRNA from 1 species
UACGGGGGGAGCAAGCGUUGUUCGGAUUUACUGGGCGUAAAGGGCGGGUAGGCGGCCACCGCAAGUCAGUUGUGAAAUCUCUGGGCUUAACCCAGAAAGGUCAACUGAUACUGCGGGGCUAGAGUGCAGAAGGGGCAACUGGAAUUCUCGGUGUAGCGGUGAAAUGCGUAGAUAUCGGAGAGAACAGCCUAGCGGCGAAGGCGGGUUGCUGGGCUGACACUGACGCUGGAACUGACGGAAAGCUAGGGGAGCGAACGGG